GGGGAAUUUUGCACAAUGGGCGAAAGCCUGAUGCAGCGACGCCGCGUGAGGGAUGAAGGCCUUCGGGUUGUAAACCGCUUUUGUCAGAGACGAAAAGGGACGUACGAAUAAUACGUUCCGCUGACGGUAUCUGAAGAAUAAGCACCGGCUAACUACGUGCCAGCAGCCGCGGUAAUACGUAGGGUGCAAGCGUUAAUCGGAAUUACUGGGCGUAAAGGGUGCGCAGGCGGCUGUGCAAGACAGAUGUGAAAUCCCCGGGCUUAACCUGGGAACUGCAUUUGUGACUGCAUGGCUAGAGUUUGUCAGAGGAGGGUGGAAUUCCGCGUGUAGCAGUGAAAUGCGUAGAUAUGCGGAAGAACACCAAUGGCGAAGGCAGCCCUCUGGGACAUGACUGACGCUCAUGCACGAAAGCGUGGGGAGCAAACA
rnacentral:rRNA from 1 species